rnacentral:rRNA from 1 species
CGCCAGACUCCUACGGGAGGCAGCAGUGGGGAAUAUUGCACAAUGGGGGAAACCCUGAUGCAGCGACGCCGCGUGAGCGAUGAAGUAUUUCGGUAUGUAAAGCUCUAUCAGCAGGGAAGAAGAUGACGGUACCUGACUAAGAAGCCCCGGCUAACUACGUGCCAGCAGCCGCGGUAAUACGUAGGGGGCAAGCGUUAUCCGGAUUUACUGGGUGUAAAGGGAGCGUAGACGGCGAUGCAAGCCAGAUGUGAAAGCCCGGGGCUCAACCCCGGGACUGCAUUUGGAACUGUGUGGCUGGAGUGUCGGAGAGGCAGGCGGAAUUCCUAGUGUAGCGGUGAAAUGCGUAGAUAUUAGGAGGAACACCAGUGGCGAAGGCGGCCUGCUGGACGAUGACUGACGUUGAGGCUCGAAAGCGUGGGGAGCAAACAGGAUUAGAUACCCGCGUACU